rnacentral:rRNA from 1 species
GAGACCGGCGCACGGGUGCGUAACGCGUAUGCAAUCUACCUUUUACAGAGGGAUAGCCCAGAGAAAUUUGGAUUAAUACCUCAUAGUAUGUGAGAAUCGCAUGGUUUUCACAUUAAAGUUCCAACGGUAAAAGAUGAGCAUGCGUCCCAUUAGCUAGAUGGUAAGGUAACGGCUUACCAUGGCGACGAUGGGUAGGGGUCCUGAGAGGGAGAUCCCCCACACUGGUACUGAGACACGGACCAGACUCCUACGGGAGGCAGCAGUGAGGAAUAUUGGACAAUGGGCGCAAGCCUGAUCCAGCCAUGCCGCGUGCAGGAUGACGGUCCUAUGGAUUGUAAACUGCUUUUGUACAGGAAGAAACACUCCCUCGUGAGGGAGCUUGACGGUACUGUAAGAAUAAGGAUCGGCUAACUCCGUGCCAGCAGCCGCGGUAAUACGGAGGAUCCAAGCGUUAUCCGGAAUCAUUGGGUUUAAAGGGUCCGUAGGCGGUUUAAUAAGUCAGUGGUGAAAGCCCAUCGCUCAACGGUGGAACGGCCACUGAUACUGUUAAACUUGAAUUAUUAGGAAGUAACUAGAAUAUGUAGUGUAGCGGUGAAAUGCUUAGAGAUUACAUGGAAUACCAAUUGCGAAGGCAGGUUACUACUAAUGGAUUGACGCUGAUGGACGAAAGCGUGGGUAGCGAACAGGAUUAGGUACCCUGGUAGUCCACGCCGUAAACGAUGGAUACUAGCUGUUGGGAGCAAUCUCAGUGGCUAAGCGAAAGUGAUAAGUAUCCCACCUGGGGAGUACGU